rfam:Gongylonema pulchrum genome assembly, scaffold: GPTH_scaffold0020474
CAAACGGCCCUCUUUAGGGCCACAAAUUCAUGAGUCAUGCUUCUCU